GGCGGCGUGCUUAACACAUGCAAGUCGAGCGGAAAGGCCCUUCGGGGGUACUCGAGCGGCGAACGGGUGAGUAACACGUGAGUAACCUGCCCUUGGCUCUGGGAUAAGCCCGGGAAACUGGGUCUAAUACCGGAUAUGACCCUCCACCGCAUGGUGCGAGGGUGGAAAGUUUUUCGGCUGAGGAUGGACUCGCGGUCUAUCAGCUUGUUGGUGGGGUGAUGGCCUACCAAGGCGACGACGGGUAGCCGGCCUGAGAGGGUGACCGGCCACACUGGGACUGAGACACGGCCCAGACUCCUACGGGAGGCAGCAGUGGGGAAUAUUGCGCAAUGGGCGAAAGCCUGACGCAGCGACGCCGCGUGGGGGAUGAAGGCCUUCGGGUUGUAAACCUCUUUCACCACCGACGAAGCUAACGUGACGGUAGGUGGGGAAGAAGCGCCGGCUAACUACGUGCCAGCAGCCGCGGUAAUACGUAGGGCGCAAGCGUUGUCCGGAAUUAUUGGGCGUAAAGAGCUCGUAGGUGGUUUGUCACGUCUGCCGUGAAAACCCGAGGCUUAACCUCGGGCCUGCGGUGGAUACGGGCAGACUAGAGGUAGGUAGGGGAGAAUCGGAAUUCCCGGUGUAGCGGUGAAAUGCGCAGAUAUCGGGAGGAACACCGGUGGCGAAGGCGGUUCUCUGGGCCUUACCUGACGCUGAGGAGCGAAAGCGUGGGGAGCGAACAGGAUUAGAUACCCUGGUAGUCCACGCCGUAAACGUUGGGCGCUAGGUGUGGGGUUCUUCCACGGAUUCCGCGCCGUAGCUAACGCAUUAAGCGCCCCGCCUGGGGAGUACGGCCGC
rnacentral:rRNA from 1 species